UAGUUACUCCUUCCGUUCGGAAUUACUUGUCGCGGAAAUGGAUGUAUCUAGAUGUAUUUUAGUUCUAGAUACAUCCAUUUCCGAGACAAGUAAUUCCGAACGGAGGGAGUAGAUU
rnacentral:pre_miRNA from 1 species